rnacentral:rRNA from 1 species
GUCCACGCCGUAAACGAUGUCAACUAGCCGUUGGGGACCUUCGUGUCCUUGGUGGCGUAGCUAACGCGCUAAGUUGACCGCCUGGGGAGUACGGUAGCAAGAUUAAAACUCAAAUGAAUUGACGGGGGCCCGCACAAGCGGUGGAGCAUGUGGUUUAAUUCGACGCAACGCGAAGAACCUUACCAGGUCUUGACAUCCAGAGAAGUCGCUAGAGAUAGCUUCGUGCCUUCGGGAACUCUGAGACAGGUGCUGCAUGGCUGUCGU